GCCCUGCCGGCAGCAGGACUGUCUUUGGGACGUCCCCAUCCUUGCGGUGUUGGGAGGAGAGAGGCAGCGGCGAGCCGGAGGUGACUCUGGCUCCCAGGGUCGGCCAGGGAGGGCACAAGCGGUGCAGUCCCUCUGCCCAGCUCUCCUGGGACUACCUGCACCUGGGACCCUGGGGUGCCUCUGCGUGCUUCUGUCCUGCUCUCCCCUUUCCUCAGACCCUCAUCCCUGCCCUUACCUGUGUUGGCCUCCUCUGGAGAUGACCUGGCUCCUGGUGUUGAGGCUCCUUCCCUGGGGGGCACCUGGGCUGGCUUGUCCUUGUCACCUGGCUCUACCUGCUGUGAAGGCCAGGGAGAUCCAUGGGAGGGCAGCAGGGAAAAAACCACCCUCAGUCCCAGGCACCUGCAUGGCCUCGCAGACGGACAAAAUCUCGGGUGCCGCUGGGGAGAGCCUUGCCGGGCCACAGGGUGCUGUGCAGCUCAUGCAGCCCCUCCACGGGGCGGCUGGGUCCCUGCUCCUCCUCCUUAGCUACCUUUGCUCUGUCACCUUCCCCCCUGCGGGGCAGCGGAUGGGUGUCGAAACAGAGCUGCCUAAAUUUAGACAGGCUCAAAUCCAGCCAAGAACAGCAGGCACAUGGCACAGAGGGAGGCUGUGUGUGGCCAGGGGGCUGAGGAGCCCAUGGAGGUGGUGGGAAGCUCCCCAGGGUGUGCAGCACGGGCUGGGUGAGCUGGCUGCCUCCAAGGUACCAGCUUUUCCUUCCCUUUUUGGCUCCUAUAGCAGGUUGGCUGCAGCCCUGUGGACUGAGUCACUGUGACUGUGCUUUCCCAACAGGGUCUUUAAUCAUUUCCCUGAUAGCUCUCCUUCCAGGGGGAAACUGAGGCACAGGCUGAUUAGAGGGGACCUGGCAGAGCUGUGCUGGGUCCCAGGCCGGCCACAGUGCUUGGAGGAGCCCUGUUUUGCUCCAUGGGGAGGACGGUGGGCAGCAAAUGGCUUUCAGGUGCCCCACUGAGUCCUGAGUGCAAACAUGGCAUGGGCCAAAGGUGGCCCGCGUUGCUGGGGGUUGGUGAACGCCAGGCCAUACAGGCUUUGCUGAAAGCUGCCUGCAAGGGCUCAGAUGCAGCAAGCGGCCACGCAAACCCCUAUUGCCAUAGGGAGGAGAAAGGGAGGGUUGUAGCUCAGGCCUUAAUCUUCACUGAGAUGGGAAGCCUUACAGACCUGCAGUGCCCUCAAUGCGUUUGCACCGCGAGCCUUUCACCAGCCUAUGAGGACGGGGAAGAACAUGGAGGGAGACCUAACAGCCGGAUUUGUCUGAAACAGGAGCCACCGCCGAAAGCUGCUCCGCCGCGGACGUGCCCAGAAGACCUUUGGAGCACGGGAGAUGCAGGCGUGCGAGGUCCCGACUCUUUGCAUCAGGGCUGUGCAACUGCCCGUGCGCCAGCAGCUUGGAACCCCGAUUUGUGGCCGGACGACCCGAACCUGCGGCUGCCGGCGGGAGCGUCACGGCCUGGCUGGCUCGAGGGAAGAUGCUCUCUGCAGCUCACCCAGGUGUCCCAUCCCAGACUUGUCAGUCACCAGCUGUUUGCAGGCCUGUCAGCCCACCAGCUCCUUUCUGACGCCAAACUUUGCACCCUUGCCGAGGCCGGGGACCGGAGCGUCGGCUCGAACCAGCAGCUCCGCCAACAGGCAGCCGCAAACGUGCUCCAGGCAAAUCCUAAAGGGUUCGAGAUGCUCCAGGCCGGCCCCAACUGGGACGCCCGCCGGCGUCGAAGGAGCCACGCCGGGUUCGACUCGUGCGACCUAGGGACAGCCACGGUUUGCAGGCAGCCCUUCAAAAAGGAGGAUAACGCUCUCUGCGCCGAGCGCCUGCCUCCACUGCCGCAGAACGAGGAAAAGCGAGUCUUGCCAAGAAGCUCUUGGGGGCAGAAGUGAAGUUCCUUGAACCUUUGAAAAGUUUGAAAUUGGGCUGACUUUGCUGGCUGGACACCGAAAAUAUUUGGGAAGUUUCCUUCUAAAACGGGCCAAAUAACUGAGUCCCAAAUCACCGUGAAAAGGGACAAAGGGGAUUUACUAAAUCCAUUUAGUAAACCUAUCCAUUAAUAUAUCUUAAUUCUAACCCCCCCUCCCGCCAAAUAUCUUACAAAAUACAUGCACUGUCUUGUUUCUAAAAUCUCCUUCUCCUGCUGCUGCCUUGCAUUAGAUGUGGCGAUCUGAUUCCUCUCCUUUUCGUCUUUUUACCUGUUUUAUCCAGGACAGGAUUCAUCUUUCCCGGUGAAUCCUAUUCCCUUUAUUCCCACCAUUCUGCCCCAUGGCAGAUCCUUGGUCUCACUGGGGACAGCGGUUUGGGGGCAAAACCGUCCCUUGCAGCCCCGCCGUUCCCUGGGGCUGCUUUACACCCUGCGAGGCAUCUUCCUCGGCUUCGAGUUUGCUGCAAAAGCCCCUUUUCACGUCACCUGCUUUGGGACCAGCUGUAGCAUCGAGCCGGCUCCUAAGCCGGGAUGAUGCAAAUCCUCUGGGCACGCAGGUCUCCUUAUGCUGGAGACGUUGUAGCAAAAAAUACGUGAAAUAUCCUCUACACUGAUUGCAUCCCGGAGCUUUCAGGUUUUUUAACUGAAUUUAUUUGCAGCAAAACUCAUCUGUUGCUUGCAUAGGGUCCGGGGAAGUCUAAGUAGCAAUUAUGCUUUCCAAAGCCGCGGCUAUUUACUGGAGGAAAAAUAGAUGCGUUUUCAAAGAUGCUUUAUUGAACAUGCUCCAGCUGGGGAAAUCGGCUCCUUCGUCGCUCCGUCCGGCGAUCAGAUGGACCCCCUGAAGCCUGCCUCUGGGCCCGCUCCUUUCGGCCGCGCGACGGAGGUGGCAGCGGGGGGAUUUACGCCGGCCGGGGUUGAGAAAAGCCCCGAGCAGCUCGCCCCAAAUCCCUGCCCUCUCUGCGCUG
ensembl:lncRNA